GGAUCAGUGACCCCAUAAAAGGACAUAUGAGAACUUGCUUUUUCUCUCUCUGUUCUCCUCCAUGUGUGGACACAGCAAGAUGACCAUCUGCAAUUCAGAAAAGAUUUGCUGACUUCUGCCCUAGGAUACUGUCAUGGUCUGCAUGUUUGAAACUGGGUCACCACUACAUCUGGCAAAAGGAACAUGGAAAAGGCAACUCUCAUUGGUGCCAGACCUAGAAACAACACAUGUCACUUCUGUUCCUUUUAACCAGAAGGAAACUUUAAUCACUGGCAAUGCAACACCAAGGGAACCUGUGUAAUCCAAUUGAGUCAACAGUUCCACUCAGGCUAUAAGCCUGUAUUAUGAAAGAAGAGGAAGGUGCUUUGCUGGAUGAUUCUUGCACAGGAGUGGAAAAACUAUGACCCAUCGCCAGUUUUUGUAUGGACUGCGAGCUAAAGAUAACGUUUCCCGACUCCUGGUCUAGCACAUAGAAGGAACUCAGUGUUUGAAAAAGGAAGAAGGGAGGGGAGGUAGAGAAUCAUAGAGUAGGUUGCUCUCUGGGGAAAAAUGAGUUGUUGUUUUUCUGACACAAAGACCAAUGCACAGACGUCAGGCGGCAGGCCAGCCUUUUCCUGAGAACACCAUGAGCACAAGUUUAUUUCUAAAGCUCUAAAGCGAUGCGUCUGAGUCCCUAAGAUGAGCUUCUUCUACUUAAACGCCAAAAAGCGACCAUUCAUCAUAGAAAUUAUAGGUCAACUAAAAACAAUAAAAUGGGAGAACACAUAAGGACUGACUCUUGUAAGCAACUCCGGAUCUUUUUGAAUAGAUUAGCAACAUGUUGGUUCAUCAAAUUCCAAGUUAACAGAUGAAAAACGUUGUGAAAUUCAUGGAAGAGAAGGGCGUUGAUAUUCAUUGGCCAUUCAUCAUGUACCAGGCAUUCAGGGAGAAUCCAUACGUAUAUGAAACCAGAGAGCUCAUUGAGAACGGGAUUACUUCCUCAUUCUGGCACGAGGAAGUGUGGAUCAUAAACAUGAAGGAACUGUCCAAGGCCUUAUGGAGGCAGGAGCAGAGCUGAGGACUCUGAUUUAGAUCCAGCCAAGAUCUUUACUUCUGCGCCGCCAUGCUGCAUCUACUGAAUUAUAGGCUGUAAAACUGGAUUAGCCACAUCCGCAAAGGUGGGAAAUCUGUCUCUGGGGUGAGUUGAUAUAUCUAGAAAUUCUGAGCCUCAAGGGAACAGAGUCAGAGUCAGGUUAAGUCCUUUUGCCACAGUGCAAAGCUCCUGCAGAGCAGCCAGGGCCCAGCUCUCCCAGGUUCCUGGGAGCAUGAACUGAGCCUCCCGUUGUUACCCGGUCUGCCUAAGAGUUCAGUGAAGUGUUGGAGUUUCCAUACGGCAUGCUGAGCUGCUCUAGAAAGGCGCUCUCAGACAAUCUGAGGAAGGAAAUGGACUGAAAAGUCAUGUCUGUAGAAGCAGCAGUAAAAAGAGAGAUUUAUCACUUGUUCUGAUAAAUUGACAGUGAAAUUAAAAAGCUUAAUUAUUUCAGCAUGAA